rnacentral:rRNA from 1 species
GAUGAACGCUGGCGGCGUGCCUAAUACAUGCAAGUCGAGCGAACAGACGAGGAGCUUGCUCCUCUGACGUUAGCGGCGGACGGGUGAGUAACACGUGGAUAACCUACCUAUAAGACUGGGAUAACUUCGGGAAACCGGAGCUAAUACCGGAUAAUAUAUUGAACCGCAUGGUUCAAUAGUGAAAGACGGUUUUGCUGUCACUUAUAGAUGGAUCCGCGCCGCAUUAGCUAGUUGGUAAGGUAACGGCUUACCAAGGCAACGAUGCGUAGCCGACCUGAGAGAGUGAUCGGCCACACUGGAACUGAGACACGGUCCAGACUCCUACGGGAGGCAGCAGUAGGGAAUCUUCCGCAAUGGGCGAAAGCCUGACGGAGCAACGCCGCGUGAGUGAUGAAGGUCUUCGGAUCGUAAAACUCUGUUAUUAGGGAAGAACAAAUGUGUAAGUAACUAUGCACGUCUUGACGGUACCUAAUCAGAAAGCCACGGCUAACUACGUG